UUUUGCAGUUGCGUUGAAGGAAGCGCACUUCCGUUAGAGAGUUGUGAGUGACAGUGGCAUUUUCCCAAUUCCUAACUAAUCUGUAAUAAACUUAAUUUCCUUCCUCAAACACUCCAGAGAUUAAUGGCAAAAGCAAUCCUUUUAAGUAACAGAUGGUACGGACAUGAACAACACUGGGCCACACUUUCAUCCUUUACCAUGCAAAAAUUUAGUCAUGGGAAGAAAAUUGACAUCAAGGUGAACGGACUAAGAAUAACUUGCUUGAAUUCCAACGAAAAGAAAGCCAAUUUGUUUGCUGCAAAGAAGGAGAGAAUUAAGCUGCCAACAUAUAGGAAUGGUCUUGGAGGCAAGAAAUAUCACAUCAGUGAAUUUUUGAGCCACCCUAGUGGAAUUGCAGCAGUGUUGAACACAAAGGCGUUGCAAUCAUUUCAAUCUAUUGAUGCGAACACAUACAGGUGUGAACUGCCUAAACUUCAAUUUUUAAACUUUGAAGCUGCCCCAUUGUUGGAUCUGCGGGUUAUCUCAACAGAUAAAGAUUGCUUGGUUGAGAUGCUUUCUUGUCAGUUUGAGGGCUCAGAAGUUGUGAAAGAGCAAAACAAUCACUUUUCAGCAUUCAUGAUAAACCACAUGACAUGGGGUGGUGCUGGUGCUGAAUCAUUUUUAGAAGUUAAUGUUAAGUUGAAUCUCACACUUGAGGACCAUGAUGGCAUGAACUGCCUUACUUGGGUCACCUUCACGUAAAUUACAUUGCAGUGAAAGUGCAAUUUUCCAGUUCGUUUCUUUUCUAAGAAACUGAUGAGUUAAGUUGACCUAUUCCUUCUUAAUCCUUACUAAUUCAUAUCCUGUAGCCGUAUGUUCAUAUGUUAAAAGGUUAGUGGUUUUGAAUCAAGAUUACUAGCUAUUAGCCUAUUACUAUAUUAACUGUAUUUCAGUAUGAUAUUGCUGAAUUUUGCAUUUUCCUUACAUGUUUAAAAAAAAUAUCACUUUCUGCAGAUUUACACACAUCCAUUUACGAUGAUGCCUAUUUCAGCUGUUGAGGGUCCUGGAAACAUAAUGAUGCAAGCUUUGGUAGACAAACUCGUGCCACUGCUACUUCAGCAGAUGCUACAAGAUUAUGAUGAAUGGGUUCAAAUGCAAUCAGACUCCCUAAAUCAGGAUUCUCGGUACGGAAAAGUUACUUCAAAAUUUUUGGGUUGAGACAACAGAAAGGGAGGGAAGACAAUUGAUGUUUAGGGAAAUGGAUAGAUAGAAAAAUGAACGGUGAGAAUUUGAUUUCUACGAGAUGCAUGUUAAAAACAUCCAUGUAAACAUUACUGUUUUAGUUAAUAUCAAUUGACAUUCACUUU